UUGUCUCUGAGGCGACCGCGGGAGGUGGGUCUGAGGUUUUGAGGUUGCAGAAUGGCCUCUCUGCGCGAGCCGUGGAACCGUCACGGGGGUUCCCCCCAGCCCCUGUCAAGGGCCGAGGUAGUGGGAGAAGAAAACGUUGGUGGAUGAGGUGACUCAGAGUCACCCCC